CAGCAGCCGCGGGAAUACGAAGGGUGCAAGCGUUAAUCGGAAUUACUGGGCGUAAAGCGCGCGUAGGUGGUUUGUUAAGUUGGAUGUGAAAUCUCCGGGCUCAACCUGGGAACUGCAUUCAAAACUGACUGACUAGAGUAUGGUAGAGGGUGGUGGAAUUUCCUGAGUAGCGGUGAAAUGCGUAGAUAUAGGAAGGAACACCAGCGGCGAAGGCGACCACCUGGACUAAUACUGACACUGAGGUGCGAAAGCGUGGGGAGCAAACAGGAUUAGAGACCCCCGUAGUCCCUGUCUCUUAUAC
rnacentral:rRNA from 1 species